rnacentral:ncRNA from 1 species
ACAAAGGCUCUUAUAAGAGCCACCCACACUGUCUGUCAGAGCUCU